rnacentral:rRNA from 1 species
AGGGAGCCUGAGAAACGGCUACCACAUCCAAGGAAGGCAGCAGGCGCGCAAAUUACCCAAUCCAGACAUUGGGAGGUAGUGACGAGAAAUACUGGGGGCGCUCAAUGAGUGCCAUCCGGAAUGAACGUAACAUAAAGCAUUCGAUGAGGAUCUACUGGAGGGCAAGUCUGGUGCCAGCAGCCGCGGUAAUUCCAGCUCCAGUAGUGUAUAUCAACAUUGUUGCGCUUGGAACGCUCGUAGUUGGAUUGCAGGGUUCCGAACAGGCGGUCACAAAUGUGGCUGGUUGGUUGUGUGCCUUCGGGUGCACAUUGGGACUCUUGUCGCACCCGGCUGGAAUUUGGCCUUUGUUGGUCGGUUCCGUGUUGGGUGGAGUGUGCCUUGAAUAAAGCAUGGUGCUCAAAGCAGGCGUACGCUCGUGUGUAAUAGCAUGGAACGAAUAGUUAUUGACUGGGUCGCAGUAUGUGGUUCUGUUUACAGGGUUGCAGCUGUGGCCGGGCUCACCUAGUGUUGGUUGGAGCAACGGUCUCACUGGUUAAAAGGGACAUUUGAGGGCACUAGUACUUUGUGGCGAGAGGUGAAAUUCUUUGACCCACAAAAGACUGACUAUUGCGAAAGCAUUUGCCAAGAAUGUUUUCAUUAAUCAAGAACGAAGGUCAGAGGAUCGAAGACGAUCAGAUACCGUCCUAGUUUUGACAGCAAACUAUGCCAGCAUAGAAUAAGUUUAAUCUCCUUGUAAAAGGCAGAAUUUGAUUUGUUCUUAAGGGAAACCUAGCUUUCGGGCUGCUGGGAGAAUAUCGCUGCAAGGCUGAAAUUUAAAGAAAUUGACGGAGAGGCACCACCAGGAGUGGAGCCUGCGGCUUAAUUUGACUCAACACGGGGAAACUCACCAGGUCCAGACAUGUGUAGGAUUGACGGGUUAUAGAUCUUUCAUGAUUAUGUGAUUGGUGGUGCAUGGCCGUUCUUAGUUGGUGGAGUGAUCUGUCAGGUCUAUUCCGGUAACGAGCGAGACCGCGGUCCUUAUUUUAGCUGGUUUCUUAAUUGUUAUCGGUUAAUAAGGAGACUAUUGGUGUUUAAACCAGGGGAAGCGUGGCAAUAACAGGUCUGUGAUGCCCUUUGAUGUCCUGGGCUGCACGCGCGCUACAAUGGCAGCAGUAGAGAGUGGCUGGCCAGAGAUGGUUGGCGAAUCUGUGAAUAGCUGUCGUGAUGGGGAUUGAGCCUUGUAAUUGUUGCUCAUGAAAGAGGAAUUCCUCGUAAGCACUAGUCAUCAGCUAGUGUUGAAUACGUCUCUGCCUCUUGUACACACCGCCCGUCGCUACUACCGAUUGAAUUGCGUCCAGAGCUUGUUUGACC